GCACUGGUUGUGUAUGGUACACCCGCUGGUUCAUUUAACCGUCAUCCAGAGUGGCUGCGGCGGAUCGGGGUUCGAUUCCCCGCCAGUGCA